rnacentral:rRNA from 1 species
UCAGUACACGUAGUCAACAUGCCCAGGGACGUGGAUAACUCGGGAAACUGAGGAUAAACCGCGAUAAGUCACUACUUCUGGAAUGGGUAAUGACUUAAAUCUAUAUGGCCCCUGGAUUGGACUGCGGCCGAUCAGGCUGUUGGUGAGGUAAUGGCCCACCAAACCUGUAACCGGUACGGGCUCUGAGAGGAGGAGCCCGGAGAUGGGCACUGAGACAAGGGCCCAGGCCCUAUGGGGCGCAGCAGGCGCGAAACCUCUGCAAUAGGCGAAAGCCUGACAGGGUUACUCUGAGUGAUUUUCCGUUAAGGAGAUCUUUUGGCACCUCUAAAAAUGGUUGCAGAAUAAAAGGGGGG